rnacentral:lncRNA from 1 species
GGGUUUUAGCAUCUGUGCAGUCUGGACUUGUCAGCCUAUGGAAGUUAAAGUUUUCUAUUUACUGUGCAUGCCUCUGAGAGACUGGCAGUCAUGGGAAAUUUCUAAGGAAUCAAUAAAUAAUACAUUAAAAAAUAAAUAACAGAGAUAAGUAAUGCACGUGGUAAUUAAUACACCGUGCUACAAGCCAGAAUUACAAAGCCAUUAUGCAGGUCUUUUGAACUGAU